AUUUUUUAUCAAUAUAAUAAUUGGAUAACGCCAAAGUAUAACCAAACUACUAACUAAUAUAAUUAUUAUAUUGUAUGUUAUAACUGAGUUUGACUCAAUUUAUAGUGAAGAUGAUCUCUGAUAAUUACUAAAAUUAACUGUGUACAAUUGUUGCUGGUGUUUUAUCGGACAAGCAAAAGAAUUGUUGGGCUUGGGCAGGUUUUGAUUGUAGAGAGUUGCAGUAAUAACUUAAGUAAUUUUUUUUUAAUCCUUUUUA
rnacentral:misc_RNA from 1 species